rnacentral:rRNA from 1 species
CGCCAGACUCCUACGGGAGGCAGCAGUGGGGAAUAUUGCACAAUGGGGGAAACCCUGAUGCAGCGACGCCGCGUGAGUGAAGAAGUAUUUCGGUAUGUAAAGCUCUCUCAGCAGGGAAGAAAAUGACGGUACCUGACUAAGAAGCCCCGGCUAACUACGUGCCAGCAGCCGCGGUAAUACGUAGGGGGCAAGCGUUAUCCGGAUUUACUGGGUGUAAAGGGAGCGUAGACGGCAUGGCAAGUCAGAUGUGAAAGCCCGGGGCUCAACCCCGGGACUGCAUUUGAAACUGUCAGGCUGGAGUGCAGGAGAGGUAAGUGGAAUUCCUAGUGUAGCGGUGAAAUGCGUAGAUAUUAGGAGGAACACCAGUGGCGAAGGCGGCUUACUGGACUGUAACUGACGUUGAGGCUCGAAAGCGUGGGGAGCAAACAGGAUUAGAUACCCCGGUA